rnacentral:rRNA from 1 species
UACGAAGGGGGCUAGCGUUGCUCGGAAUCACUGGGCGUAAGCGCACGUAGGCGGCUUUCUAAGUCAGGGGUGAAAUCCUGGAGCUCAACUCCCAGAACUGCCUUUGAUACUGGAGCUUGAGUCCGGGAGAGGGUGAGGUGGAACUCCGGAAGUGUAGAGGUGAAAUUCGUAGAUAUUCGGAAGGAAAGCACCACUGGCGGA